CUCGUGAUGUGUUGGCAAUUCCAAUUUCUAAUGUGGCGUCAGAAUGCGCGUUUAGCACUGGUGGCCGUAUUCUUGAUUCAUUUAGGAGUUCAUUGACUCCUAAAUGUGCGAAAGCUCUUAUUUGUGUUCAAGAUUGGCUUAGAGAAGAGAAGAAUCCUAUUAGUGUUGAAGAAGACUUGAAGUAUCUUGAGGAACUCGAGCUUGAUAUGGAAAAUAAUGGAAGCACUACUAGCAUUGUUUGAUGUAUAGUUGCAACUUGCAUCUUGAGUGGUUCAAGUGCAAUCAUGCCCCGUGCUACUGCUCAACGCUCCGAUAUUGGGGAAUACUUUGUGGUGAAAGAAGAUAACGGAGAAGUUAGC